CGUCUUGUCUUAGGUGCAUAGUACAAAAUCAAAAACAACUAUUUGAGCGAAUGAAUCCAUUCUAAAGCAAUCCCGAACAUCAAAGCAAUCCAUCCCCACGGAAUAAUCAGAAGCGACGGAAGAAUGCAUCCUGUCCUGAUUCGAUUGGUGUUCUUAUUGCAGCUAUUCCGAUACUCUACGGCUAAAUGACUCGUGACUUCACAAGCGUUAUAUCUACGGUUUUCUGCAAGACGAGUUUCUAAUUUGUGUAGUGAAAAUUGUAUAAAUAUUGACAAUGGUUGAAUCAAAGAUGGAAAUUCGAGAGCACCAUCAAAAACAAGUAGGAAAAAGCAUGGUUCUUGCAUGUUACCUUAUCAUCAUUUUCUCAGUUCAAAAACAGAAUCCAGAUGUCUCACCGAUCGUUUACGUUUUGCGUUAGAUCGCCAAUCGAUCUUCAUCAGUACUUUCACCACUAGCAGUCAAUAAUAACUCUGAAAGUCUAAUCGUAACUGUUGUUUCGUAAUUUAAGCUUAAAGUUGAAGCCUCGGAGCGACAAAUAAAAAAUGGACAUUUUGAAUGCCCGCGUUUGCACAUUGGACAUAUUGCAUUGCACGAUAAGAGUUUGAAACUAACUACUAAACAAAAUCCAAAUAUCAGCUGUCGUUCAAAAGACAGAUUAUCAUUGUUAUCACUCGUUGAAUAGCACUGAAAUCGAUAACAACACCUGAAAGAAAUAAAAACUUUAAACGACCGAAGUAUGACUUCGUUUUGUUUUGACUGUUUUGUUACUUCGGACUUUUCGAGCGUCAGAGGAAAGCGGCGUCCGAAGUAACAGCCGAGUGCUCAAAAUCCGAAUAUGUAUAUUGGAUAUUUUUUGUAUCGGCGAUAAAAAGAUUAACAAGAUAGAUACGUGAACGAUUGUUUUUGUAAUGCAUUCAAUGUUUGAAAACUAAUAGCGUGCAUCCUUUAACUCGAUUUGUUUACAUUUGUUACAUAGGACCUUUUCAAAAGUUGCGCGAGAAAUGAUUGGAAAAUGUUCUGAUUUUUGAUUUAUUUUUAUUCGUCAUUGGCAUCAUCCCCCUCACUUGACUGCAGUUGCCAUUCACUCAUCAAACGACGAAUCAAACUUUCAUCGCCGUUGCCAUUAUUCCCACUGGAGGAUCCAUUCUGCGCGGGACACAUUUCGAACAUUUCAAUGACAUCUUGAGGAAAACCAUAAUUGUUUCGUUUGUUGGGUUGAAUUCCACAAUCUUCCGGAAGGUACCGAAAUUCUGGAUCAUCCUCUUCUUCGAUGGUAGCGGUUAGGGCAUCCGCAUUUAGCUGAUCGUAAUCGAAAGCCAGGCUGUCCGAGUGAUCUUUUCCAAAAAGCGAAAAGUCUAUUAUGAUAACGUGAUCCUUCGC